rnacentral:rRNA from 1 species
AGCUUGCUUCUCUGCUGACGAGUGGCGGACGGGUGAGUAAGAUCUGGGAAACUGCCCGACAGAGGGGGACAACAGAUGGAAACGUCUGCUGAUACCGCAUAUACCUGAGGGGGAAAGCAGCGAUGCGCUGUCGGAUGUGCCCAGAGGGGAUUAGCCUGUAGGUGAGGUAAGAGCUCACCUAAGCUGCGAUCUCUAGCUGGUCUGAGAGGAUGACCAGCCACAUCGGGACUGAGACACGGCCCGGACUCCUAUGGGAGGCAGCAGUAGGGAAUAUUGCACAAUGGGGGAAACCCUGAUGCAGCCAUGCCGCGUGUGUGAAGAAGGCCUUCGGGUUGUAAAGCACUUUCAGAGGGGAGGAAACAAUGACGUUACCCUCAGAAGAAGCACCGGCUGACUCCGUGCCAGCAGCCGCGGUAAUACGGAGGGUGCGAGCGUUAAUCGGAAUAACUGGGCGUAAAGGGCAUGCAGGCGGGACGGUAAGUAAGGUGUGAAAUACCGGGGCUUAACCUCGGGGCUGCAUUUUAAACUGCCGUUCUUGAGUAUUGCAGGGAGAGACGGAAUUCCUGGUGUAGCGGUGGAAUGCGUAGAGAUCAGGAAGAACACCGGAGGCGAAGGCGGUCUCUUGGGCAAAUACUGACGCUGAGAUGCGAAAGCGCGGGAAGCAAACAGGAUUAGAUACCCUGGUAGUCCGCGCCGUAAACGAUGUCGAUUGGGAGUCCGAACUCAGGUUUGGGUUCCGGAGCAAACGCGUUAAAUCGACCGCCUGGGGAGUACGGCCGCAAGGUUAAAACUCAAAUGAAUUGACGGGGGCCCGCACAAGCGGUGGAGCAUGUGGUUUAAUUCGACGCAACGCGAAGAACCUUACCUGAUCUUGACAUCCGAAGAA